GUUAGGAAUAUUGGACAAUGGGCGCAAGCCUGAUCCAGCCAUGCCGCGUGAGUGAUGAAGGCCUUCGGGUUGUAAAGCUCUUUAGCCGAUGAUUAUAAUGACUGUAGUCGGAAAAUAAGCCCCGGCUAACUUCGUGCCAGCAGCCGCGGUAAUACGAAGGGGGCGAGCGUUAUUCGGAAUCACUGGGCGUAAAGCGUGCGUAGGCGGCUUUGCAAGUUGGGAGUGAAAGCCCAGGGCUCAACCCUGGAAUUGCUCUCAAAACUGCAAGGCUCGAAUUCGGGAGAGGAUAGCGGAAUUGUCAGUGUAGCAGUGAAAUGCGUAGAUAUUGACAGGAACACCAGUGGCGUAAGCGGCUAUCUGGACCGAUAUUGACGCUGAGGCACGAAAGCGUGGGGAUCAAACAGGAUUAGAUACUCCAGUAGUCC
rnacentral:rRNA from 1 species